UACGUAGGGAGCAAGCGUUGUCCGGAAUCAUUGGGCGUAAAGCGCGCGUAGGUGGCCUCAUAAGUCCGUUGUGAAAGUCAAAGGCUCAACCUUUGAAAGCCGAUGGAUACUGUGAAGCUAGAGUACGGAAGAGGCGAGUGGAAUUCCUGGUGUAGCGGUGGAAUGCGCAGAUAUCAGGAGGAACACCAAUAGCGAAGGCAGCUCGCUGGGACGUUACUGACACUGAGGCGCGAAAGCGUGGGGAGCGAACAGG
rnacentral:rRNA from 1 species